GUCUCUGGCCGUACCAUCCUGAACAUGCCCAAUCUCAUCUGACCUUGGAAGCUAAGCAGGGUCCGGCCUGGUUAGUACUUGGAUGGGAGACAAAAAGGAAAUAAAUAAGCCAAGGGCC
rnacentral:rRNA from 1 species